rnacentral:rRNA from 1 species
GUAGGGAAUAUUGGGCAAUGGAGGCAACUCUGACCCAGCCAUGCCGCGUGCAGGAUGACGGCCCUCUGGGAUGUAAACUGCUUUUAUACGGGAAGAAAAAAGACUACGUAUAGUAUACUGACGGUACCGUAAGAAUAAGGAUCGGCUAACUCCGUGCCAGCAGCCGCGGUAAUACGGAGGAUCCAAGCGUUGUCCGGAUUUAUUGGGUUUAAAGGGUGCGUAGGCGGAUCUUUAAGUCAGUGGUGAAAGCCUGCAGCUUAACUGUAGAAUUGCCAUUGAAACUGAAGAUCUUGAAUGUGGUUAAAGUAGGCGGAAUGUAUCAUGUAGCGGUGAAAUGCUUAGAUAUGAUACAGAACACCGAUAGCGAAGGCAGCUUGCUGAACCAUUAUUGACGCUGAGGCACGAAAGCGUGGGGAGCGAACAGGAUUAGAAACCCUGGUAGUCC